rnacentral:siRNA from 1 species
CGGUGGCGUUGGAGCAGCCAUUG